rnacentral:rRNA from 1 species
AAGUCCUACGGGGCGCAGCAGUGAGGAAUAUUGGUCAAUGGGCGCGAGCCUGAACCAGCCAAGUCGCGUGAGGGAAGACGGUCCUAUGGAUUGUAAACCUCUUUUGUCGGGGAGCGAAAGACGCCACGUGUGGCGUUCCGAGAGUACCCGAAGAAAAAGCAUCGGCUACCUCCGUGCCAGCAGCCGCGGUAAUACGGAGGAUGCGAGCGUUAUCCGUAUUUAUUGGGUUUAAAGGGUGCGCCGGCGGCAGCUCAAGUCAGCGGUAAAAUUGAGCUGCUCAACCUCUUCCAGCCGUUGAAACUGGU